GCACAAGCGGUGGAGCAUGUGGAUUAAUUCGAUGCAACGCGAAAACCUUACUACCCUUGACAUGUCUGGAACCUUGCUGAGAGGCGAGGGUGCCUUCGGGAGCCAGAACACAGGUGCCGGCAUGGCUGUCGUCAGCUCGUGUCGUGAGAUGUUGGGUUAAGUCCCGCAACGAGCGCAACCCUUGUCAUUAGUUGCCAUCAUUUAGUUGGGCACUCUAAUGAGACUGCCGGUGACAAACCGGAGGAAGGUGGGGAUGACGUCAAGUCCUCAUGGCCCUUAUGGGUAGGGCUUCACACGUCAUACAAUGGUCGGUACAGAGGGUUGCCAAGCCGCGAGGUGGAGCCAAUCCCUUAAAGCCGAUCGUAGUCCGGAUCGUAGUCUGCAACUCGACUACGUGAAGUCGGAAUCGCUAGUAAUCGCAGACCAGCAUGCUGCGGUGAAUACGUUCCCGGGUCUU
rnacentral:rRNA from 1 species